rnacentral:lncRNA from 1 species
CCAGUGCUGGGAGAUGGGAGCUGUGAUCAAAGGGACCUGGGAACAACGUCGCGGCCGUUCCCACUCGCUGUCAGCAUCGGCUCCUCUCCAGCCUUGUGGUUUUUUUUUUUUUUUGCUCAGCUCUGCCGUGGUGGGGAGGCGAGGUGGGGGCCCAGGCUGCUGCAGGGCAGGGCAGGGUGUGAAGCUUUGCACGUCCCCCGUGCUGUGCUGCCCAUCCUGCUCACCUCGAGCUGCUCAGGGCCCUGUCCCUGCUCUGUGCUGCACAACCCCAGCAGCCUGGGGCAAGGACGAGCUGAAGGGCAGGGGCAGAGGAGCCGGCUGGGGCAGCGGGGUUGCCUCCAGCACCACCCCAUUGGGCUGGGGGAGCAUCCUGCACCCCGCUCGGCCCUGGGGCUGUGGCCAAGCAUCUCUGCAGCAGGGAUGCAGCCUCGCUUCCCAUCCCAGCCUGUGCCAGGAUCAGGGCCCAGCAAGACAACACAGCCAGGGGUGACUUCUGGGGGGCAAAGGGGGGGGGGCAUGGGAGCCCCAGCAGAGCAGUGAUGAGGCUUGGGGGCACGAAGCCAGACCCAAGCAUCCCUUUGUUUGCAGGAGCCCCUGCAAGGGGUGGGCAAUGGGGAGAAGCCCCCAGCCCGGGCUGGGGGGUGCAGGAGAGCAGCCGACCCAGCCGUGGGGGGGUUCAGGCGCUGCCUCCUUGCGCUGGGAACCCGGGGUUGCGGUGGCCGGGGGGGCUCUGACCGGAGGCAGGGACCUUCCCCCGACCCUCGCCCGCAGAUCCCCGGGCAGAGAGGCUGGGAGCGACCCCCCCGGGGCUCCCCCCGCCUCGCCCAGCCCUCGGCUGCACCUCCGCCCUUCUCGGCCCCCGGUUGCCACCUGCCGGUAGCUCCGCAGUGCCACGGGGCUCCGCUCGCCCUGGAGUUUUGGCCGUGCCAAGCCCGGAGCCCCCCCACCCGGGGACCCCCCCCCACCUCCAUCCCAUCCCGACUCCUCUCAGGGAUGCUCCGGGUGCCCCAGGCUGGGCAGUACCGGGGCCGGACCCCCCCCCUGCGCAUCUCCCCGUGGCAAAACCGCAGCUCCCCAGCUCGGGGGGGGGGGGCCCCCCGUUUUCCCCCCCCGGCCCCCCGGCCCGGGGGGGGUGCGGNNNNNNNNNNNNNNNNNNNNNNNNNNNNNNNNNNNNNNNNNNNNNNNNNNNNNNNNNNNNNNNNNNNNNNNNNNNNNNNNNNNNNNNNNNNNNNNNNNNNGCUCAGCGCGGACCCGGACCCCCGGGGCGGGUUGGGGGGGGGUCCCGGGAGGCGGCGGGACGGACUACAGGUCCCGGCAUGCCCGGCCGCGCUCCGCACCUGCCCGGGGAGCGGCUUUUGUUCGCGGCGGGGCCGCGGGAGCGAUGGGCGAGGGCCCCGCGGCCGCCUCCGCGCCGGGAGCAGCGAGCGCGCAGCGGUACCAGCCGGAGCAGGGACUCUGCCUCCUGCCAGCACCUCUCCGGGGGGGCAGGGAGGAAGGUGCAUCCCCCCAUGGCAGCCGGCUCCCCCACGUAACGCCAGCCAAACUGGACACCGCGGUCCCGCAAGAGACCCCCCCCGGCCAGCGCCCCCCCGCCCGCUGCCUCUCACCUGGCCCAGCCUCGCCGCUCGCUGCCCUGCCCCACGCUGACCCCGUGCCCCGUCGCGAUGUCGCCACCAUCACCGACCUGUGCAGCGGCGGCGAUGUCCCCGAGGUGGAGAUCAUCAGCCUGCUGGGCGAGCAGCUGCCCCGCUACAAGCUGCGGGCGGACACCGUCUUCGGCUAUGACCACGACGACUGGCUGCGAGCCCCCCCUGCCCCCCCGGAGCCCGCAGCCCCCCUCACCCCCCAGCAGAUCUCGGAGACCCUGCAAUAUUUCCGUGAGUGCCCCUGUCCCGCGCCGUGGGGCUGGGCGAGGGCAGUGGGGCGCAGGUGAUGGGGUUCGGGCCGGGUGGGGGCUGUGGGGGCUGUGGGGGAGUUAAUCGCUGCUAACGGGAUUGCCGGCGUGGAUUUCCUCACCCAGAACAUCCUGGGCUAAUUCUGGGAGCAGCUUCUGCUGAGCCGAGCCGGACGCUCGCGGAGAGCCUCCGACAGCCCCCAGGGACCCCGGUGUGUCCCCCUUUCCCGUGCCCUGCAUCUCUCUGGGGUGGCCACCCGUGAGGGGUGUUCUGGUGGCCCCAAGUGCUGCUGUGCCCCCAAAAACAGCCUGGAGUGGCCGAGGGAGUGUGGGGCUGCUCCUGCCAGCAAAGCCCUGUGGGGUACGGGCACCUGGGGGGAGACCCCCGCAGCCCCCUGGCUGGGGAGGGGGCGAUUCCCAACCAGGGAGCUGCGAGGCCCCUUCCCAGCACGGGGUCAGGGUCUGGUGGGCACACCUGGCUCCCUCUGCCCAUAUACGAGGGGCUGGGCUGGGGGCCACCCCCUGCUUGUGGCUGACCCCAGGGUGUUCCUGCCCCCCCAGACCCCUAGCCAUGCAGUGUCUGGCACAGGAGGACCCCGUGUGUCGCCGUCCGUCCCCUCUCCGUGUCACCUCCCUCUCCGUGUCACGUUUCCCCGUGCCUUGGCACCUGGGUGACGUUUGUGCCUUAGCAGUGUGUCAGGGGCCCGUGCUCCCCCAUCCCUUCCCCCCAAAACCCUUAAGCUGCCAUCAGAAAUAGCCCCCUGUAAUCUGCUUGCGCAGAGGCGCGG